AUGAACGCUGGCGGCGUGCUUAACACAUGCCGGUCGAACGGAAAGGCCCAAGCUUGCUUGGGUACUCGAGUGGCGAACGGGUGAGUAACACGUGGGUGAUCUGCCCUGCACUUCGGGAUAAGCCUGGGAAACUGGGUCUAAUACCGGAUAGGACCACAUUUUGGAUGGUGUGGUGGAAAGUUUUUCGGUGUGGGAUGAGCUCGCGGCCUAUCAGCUUGUUGGUGGGGUAAUGGCCUACCAAGGCGUCGACGGGUAGCCGGCCUGAGAGGGUGUACGGCCACAUUGGGACUGAGAUACGGCCCAGACUCCUACGGGAGGCAGCAGUGGGGAAUAUUGCACAAUGGGCGCAAGCCUGAUGCAGCGACGCCGCGUGGGGGAUGACGGCCUUCGGGUUGUAAACUCCUUUCGCUAGGGACGAAGCGUUUUUGUGACGGUACCUGGAGAAGAAGCACCGGCUAACUACGUG
rnacentral:rRNA from 1 species